UUGUAAGUGUUUAUGAGCGUACGGUGGAUGCCUUGGCACCAGGAGCCGAUGAAGGACGUGGGAGGCUGCGAUAUGCCUCGGGGAGCUGUCAACCGAGCUGUGAUCCGAGGAUUUCCGAAUGGGGAAACCCAGCACGAGUGAUGUCGUGUUACCCGCGCCUGAAUAUAUAGGGCGUGUGGAGGGAACGUGGGGAAGUGAAACAUCUCAGUACCCACAGGAAGAGAAAACAACAUGUGAUUCCGUGAGUAGUGGCGAGCGAAAGCGGAAGAGGCUAAACCG
rnacentral:rRNA from 1 species